rnacentral:misc_RNA from 1 species
CGAAGAUGAAAAACAUCUGGUGAGAAGGCACGAUUCUUCUCCAUAAGUUCUAGAGGAAAUGAAUAUCCUGGUGGGUGGGCGUGUAGAUAUAAGGGACUUAAGACAUAUUUUCUCCUGUUUUGCCUAGUUUCUGAAGAUUCUUUUGAUACAUGCGGAGUUCUUGAUUAUUAGACCUGUCUGUAAUAUGAGAGAACAUGCUUUAUUUAAUUUUUGUAUUUCGGCCUUCAUUCAGAAGGGAAUGCAUAAA